AGAACGAACGCUGGCGGCAUGCUUAACACAUGCAAGUCGAACGAGACCUUCGGGUCUAGUGGCGCACGGGUGCGUAACGCGUGGGAAUCUGCCCUUAGGUACGGAAUAACUCAGAGAAAUUUGUGCUAAUACCGUAUGAUGUCGAAAGACCAAAGAUUUAUCGCCUAAGGAUGAGCCCGCGUAAGAUUAGCUUGUUGGUGAGGUAAAAGCUCACCAAGGCGACGAUCUUUAGCUGGUCUGAGAGGAUGAUCAGCCACACUGGGACUGAGACACGGCCCAGACCUCCGUACGGGAGGCAGCAGGUGGGGAAUAGUUGGAACAAGUGGGACGAAAGCCUG
rnacentral:rRNA from 1 species